rnacentral:lncRNA from 1 species
CAUAAAACUAGUUUUCAGAAAAUCAUAGUACGUAUAAGUAUGAAAUCAAAUGUAAUUCAUCAAUAUUUCAAGAAACACAACAAAUCAUAAUAUCUCAACCGUAGCAUAUGAAAAUCAGGUGCUCAUCAAUCUAUGCUAAGACACGAGUUCUUGCAGAGAAAUUCUGACAUGAACAGGAUUGAGUGUAAUCAUAAGAUAUGCUCUAGUACUACAAUCACGUGAACGCUGAUGCUAAACGCAUCACAUACGAGCCCUAGUUGCCUAUUGCAACCUAGGACAGGACUGACAUCUACAAUGGAUCCAAAGUGAGCGUGCGGUGCGAUGUGAACAUACACGUGAAGCCUGGCCCUUACUCGAGGUCAGUACUACAUCAGUGCAAGCAUGCAUGAUGAGCAGAUAAAAUGUAUAUGAACAUGCCAUGACAAUUUAUAAAUCUCAACAAUAUAAUAGUACUUUUAAAAUGAAAUAAAACAUGGCAUGAUAAGCAUAAUAUUAAAUCCAAAUGCAUUUGUUGAAACCAUAAACUUUAUAUACAUAAUAUAUGUAAAAACAAAUGCCCACUCACUAAUACGUAGUAGAAUUGUAGCCUCCUAGCCUUGCUUGACCUCAUACGUCCUCAGGAUAAUUCUUUCCUAUAUGUGAAACAACUAUAGUAAUUAAUUAAUUAAAACAUACACGAAAAGGCUAGAAAAAUCAACCAUAGUUUGCUCAAACGGAGGGUUUUAAUACACGAAAAGGUCUCUCGUCCAACCACAAGUAUAGAACAAAUGCUAAGCUUCCAAGGAGUUUAAAAACAGUAAUCACAACCUCGAUCUUUGAAGAUUGAAAGGGUUUGAGGGUCGUCCGUACAGGUUGUACGGAAAUGAAAGACGAUCUGAGAGAGGGAGAAGAGAGAAAGGUCAACGGGAGUUGUGUGGGUGAGUGUGAGUGUGUGGUCCAGCUUUUGGGUUACUAAGCACAACAAAAAAUUACUAACUUUAAGUUGCACAAACUUAGGAACUAACCAAUUUAGUUUAAAACCCAAACUUAAGCCAUAACACCACAUAACAUACUCAAUGUCCAAGGGCAAUUUAGACAUUUCACACCAUCGAUAACAAUAAUUCUGGACGGGCUGUGAAAAAUCCCCUCCCGUCCCCCUUAAACCCUAACCCUAAUAUCGCUCACCAACGCUUCCAGGUUGUCCUUGUCGUUGUUCGACGACUGGUCUGCAAGCCACUUGACCUCCACCACGAGGUAAGGUUGGGUGUGGAUGAGGUCGGUGAU